UACCCAGUGACCCACAUGACUCCAGUCUAAGCAAUGUGACUCUUUAUUUGAACAUAUCUCUGAAGACAGAAGACUUACAAACACUCAAGAAGAGAAUACAGAAACAACCCGGUUUGAAUUUAGAGGAUAGAAAUGUUGUAGCCCAUUUCAGGAUCAAACUGAAGCAACUAAUCAAGGUCCAAGGACUUUGCUCUCCUACAUGGACAACCACCUUCCUACGCACAGCGUGGUUAACGGACCAGCUGCAUGACAUCAUAAAUGUCCAAGCUCAGGCCCACCCAGACCCGCUGAAUGAAAAUCUGCAUUUGAACAGAUCUCCAGGUCUAUUGUUGCGGCAGCAAGGAAUAUUCAAGAUGUAAUUGGGUUUCUCAUUUUCUGGCAACAACUGUGUGAGAGGCAAAUGAGAGCCUUUUACUGAACAACUUUUCUAAUCUGUAAAAUGAGAGCAAAUAUUAAGUAACCCACUUGUGACUGAAUAAAAACUGCAAUGCUCAAAUUCAGUCUUCACCUGAUGAAACCAAAGUUCACCAUGAAACUGUGAUUACACUCAAGGUUCUGUACUGAAAUGUGCCAUUAAGAUGCAACGCUUACUGCGUAGGAAAGUCUCCGACUGUGCGUCAGUUUCCCUGCGCAGGUUGUAAAAUGCACAACCAAUUAAAAAUUAUUAUAAAGUGCUCCUCAAGUUUAAACAGCAGCAUUCUGAAGAAUGAAAGGGGCUGGAGGUGGUGAACAUCAGGACUUUUUUUUUCCCAAGAGGAGAAAGAAAUACAUCAGAGGAUGCCAAUUUAGUGACUAAAAAAACACCUACUUCGGGGUGGUGGAGACUGCCCACAGGUCUUUGGUGGUUUAAGUGGACCUUUGAUCACCCACCUGCCAGCUGUAAUACUUGUCAUACCUUUCCUCUCUCAGGCCACCAUUCCCCUUGCCCUACUCAAGUUGGCCAAAAAUGCAUUCAUGCUACUAUUAUUCUUUCUCAUCCCAAAUCUUAUCAGUUUAUUAACCUGGGACUGUUAAUCAUUGACCUGGCAUGAACUUUUCUUCUCCUGGUUUUCAUGGUGUGUGUCCACUUCAAUCCUAGUAAAGCCUUCACUGGAGUUUUCUGGAGAGCCCAUCUAUAGCCGUUAUAUGUCAAUAAAACAGAGAACAGAAUUGUGACUGACGAACUUAAAUCAUUUCUGAAACAGUUUUCUGUGUAAAUUGCUAACUUCUCUUAGAGUUAGGGGACAUCAGCUCUCUUGUACUAUGAAAUCACCAAGAUGCUUUUGUGCGGAAGUGACACGAUGAAGGAGGGAGGAAUGAAGAUGCCAGAAACAUAAAAAUAAAAUAUAUUUAAAUAUGGGGCCGGCCCAGUGGCGCAAGCGGCCCGGGGUUCGCCGGUUCGGAUCCCGGGCGCACACUGACACACUGCUUGUAGAGCUAUGCUGUGGCAGCAUCCCAUGUAAAGUAGAGAAAGAUGGGCACAGAUGUUGG